GACGAACGCUGGCGGCGCGCCUAACACAUGCAAGUCGAACGAGCGAGAGAGAGCUUGCUUUCUCGAGCGAGUGGCGAACGGGUGAGUAACGCGUGAGGAACCUGCCUCAAAAGAGGGGGACAACAGUUGGAAACGACUGCUAAUACCGCAUAAGCCCACGGCUCGGCAUCGAGCAGGGGGAAAAGGAGCAAUCCGCUUUGAGAUGGCCUCGCGUCCGAUUAGCUAGUUGGUGAGGUAAUGGCCCACCAAGGCGACGAUCGGUAGCCGGACUGAGAGGUUGAACGGCCACAUUGGGACUGAGACACGGCCCAGACUCCUACGGGAGGCAGCAGUGGGGAAUAUUGCACAAUGGGGGAAACCCUGAUGCAGCGACGCCGCGUGAGUGAUGAAGUAUUCGGUAUGUAAAACUCUAUCAGCAGGGAAGAUAAUGACGGUAACCUGACUAAGAAGCACCGGCUAAAUACGUGCCAGCAGCCGC
rnacentral:rRNA from 1 species